UGGGGAAUAUUGCACAAUGGGCGAAAGCCUGAUGCAGCGACGCCGCGUGAGGGAUGACGGCCUUCGGGUUGUAAACCUCUUUCAGUAGGGACGAAGCGCAAGUGACGGUACCUGCAGAAGAAGCACCGGCUAACUACGUGCCAGCAGCCGCGGUAAUACGUAGGGUGCGAGCGUUGUCCGGAAUUACUGGGCGUAAAGAGCUCGUAGGCGGUUUGUCACGUCGUCUGUGAAAUCCUAGGGCUUAACCCUGGACGUGCAGGCGAUACGGGCUGACUUGAGUACUACAGGGGAGACUGGAAUUUCUGGUGUAGCGGUGGAAUGCACAGAUAACAGGAAGAACACCGAUGGCGAAGGCAGGUCUCUGGGUAGUAACUGACGCUGAGGAGCGAAAGCAUGGGUAGCGAACAGG
rnacentral:rRNA from 1 species